UGAGACAGCACCAACACACGACGCACAGUAAAUGUCAUGAGAACAAAGAAUUUAUGGCACGUACAGAGGCUCAUUGAAAGUUGAGUAGUCUUCCCGCAUGUUAAAUCACUCUGGUGAUUAAUAGUUGGAAGUAUAAAAUCCGUACAUAUUAGUAAUGGCACGUCAAAAUCACGAAACCUUUCAAGGUGCUGCAAUAUAUUAUAAUGAAUCCAAGAGACAGAGAGAAACCAUUCGGUCGUGAGCAGCGGAGAUGAAAACCUGGACAAUGUGGAUGACGGUCAUAAUGGCCAUCGGAUACCAUCAGAUAUCGAUAGUCAGGUAUCGCUUCCCCGGUCCUACACGUUGCCACGGGAGUUCAAGUACUACCGCCGGAACAAAGGUCGUAAGACGAU